rnacentral:lncRNA from 1 species
CUAAUAUAAUUUUUAAAACCUGAGAGCUGAAGUCAGAGUACAUACUCACCUCUUUCAAAUUAUAUGUGUGUAUGUAUGUGUGUGUGUGUGUGUGUGUGGUGUGGUGUGAUGUGGUGUGUGUGUGGUGUGGUGUGGUGUGUGUGGGGUGUGGUGAGGUGUGUGUGUGGUGUGUGGUAGUGUGUGUGGUAUGUGUGAAGGUGUGUGUGUAUGUGUGGGGUGUGUAGGUGUGGGGUGUGUACAUGUGUGGUGUGUUGUGGGUUGUGUAUGCAUGUGGUGUAUGUGUGUGGUGUGUGUAUGAUAUGUGGUGUGUGUGGUAUGUGUGCAUGUGUGGGGUGUGCGUGUGGUGUGUAGUGUGUGUGUAUGUGUGUAUUUGGUAUGUGUUUGUAUAGUGUGUGGUGUGUGUGUGGUGUAUGGUGUGUGGUGUGUUUGUGUGGGAUAUAUGUUUGGUGUGUGGUGUGUUUAUGUGGGGGGUGUGUGCAGUGUGUGUGUGAGUGGUGUGUGUGUAUGUGGUAUGUAUUUUCUGUGUGUGUGGUGUGUUUGUGUGUGGUGUGUGUUUGGUGUGUGGUGUGUUUGUGUGGGGUGUGUGUUUGGUGUGUGGUGUGUUUGUGUCGGGUGUGUGCAGUGUGUGUGUGAGUGGUGUGUGUGGUGAGUGGUGUGUGUGGUGAGUGGUGUGUGUGUAGUGUGUGUAUGUGGUAUGUGUUUGGUGUGUGGUGUGUGUGCGUGUAGUGUGUGUAUGUGGUAUGUGUUUGGUGUGUGGUGUGUGUGCGUGGUGUGUGUAGUGUGUAUGUGGUAUGUGUUUGGUGUGUGGUGUGUGCGUGGUGUAUGGUAUGUGGUGUGUUUGUGUGGGGUGUGUGUUUGUGUGGGGGGUGUGUGGGGGGAUGUGUGCAGUGUGUGUGUGUGGUGUGUUUGGUGUGUGUAUGAGUGGUGUGGUGUGUGUCUGUGUGUGGUGUGUGUGUGUGUGUGUUGUUUGACAUGGCUGGGCUCCCUCCAACUAUACUAUAAAUUCUGUGUAGCUCAGGACUAGGACUCCUGCCUUACCCGUGUUCUCUGCUCCCCCCACAAGGUGGGCAGUGGAAACAACCUCCUUGGCACCACUACAGGCCUCGCGUGAACAAGUGUAUCCUUUCCAGCCUCACCUGCGACCACAUCUCUCAAUAAAAAUGCAAUUCAAGAAAAAUUUAUUACGCGCUCAGUAUGUGCUGGACCCUGUAGUAGGAGCUCUUGGGUAUUUCUAUGAUUUUAUCCUCACAAUAAUCCCUUGGACAAGAUAAUAAUCUCAUUAUAAGCUAAGGACACUAAAGUUCAGAAAAGCUAAACAACAUAUCCAGAAGAAUACUCCUCUCAGGCCUCUCGAUUCCUAAUCCCCUGUUCUUGCCACUAUGCUGCAGUUGCCAGUUUCUUAUCCCCUAAACUCAGCCCAGUCACAGUCCCCAAACAGGCCCCAUCUUUUACUCAUCCACGCCUUUGCUUGGCCUGAAAUGGCCCACCCAGAGUUCUCUCCCACAAGAGCCUUGCUCAUUCCUGCUCAAAUUUUACCUUCAAUGUAAAAGACCAAUCCCCCUCCUGUAAUCAGAACAAAUCACUCUCUCUUUGAUUCUUCUACAAGGUUUUUUUUGUUUUUGUUUUUUUUUGCGCGACCCUCACAGAAUGUAUUGCACCUGACCCUGUGUCACGGCUUUUGUAUCACUAGGAUUCACCUCUGUAUCUCCUCAAAACGCCUCAACUACAACCAAUAAAUGCUGAGUAAGCCCAAUGUAUACUCAUUGGUUCUUUUAUCACUUUGGUGGAAAGAAAGGAGAACAUUUAUAAUUUUCAAACUAGCUCGAAAUAUUAGGGGAAAGCAUUUUUUUAAUCUCCCAAAAUGUAGAAAACAGCUUCACAUCUCAGAGCAGUGCCAUGUGGUAAUUCUGUUAAACUUCAUGAAAUAAUCACAUUGCAAAC